CCCUAUGGGGCGCAGCAGGCAGGGAUAUUUGCAAUAAUAUCGCUUUCCGCCAGUAUCCUUGCGUUGGGAUAAUUUUUAUCGUUGCCCCCGGCUUUUUUCAGUCCGGCCAGAAGGUCCGUCAAAUAGUCUUUUUCUGUGACCUUGCUGGCAAGCUCGGCUGCCCUGACAGCGAAAGAGAUGACCUGUUUUGUCUCAACUCCCGAUAUGUCGUUGAAAAACCAUCCGCACGAAGUGAACAUGAACAUUCUCAUUCGCUCUGCUUCAAGCAUAUUGAGGAUAGAAGCCCCCUCUUUUUCACCAAUGCCGCCAAGGUGUUUUGAAAGGAAUUCCAGUCCUUCCUCAUAUUCCUCUUUUUUGCCUGCCUUUGCCGAACGGUAGUGUUCGAGCGAUAGGUUUCUGAGGUCCCACGGGUCAAAAUAGGGAGAGC
rnacentral:rRNA from 1 species